rnacentral:rRNA from 1 species
CAUGCAGGCGGUUAUGCAAGCAGGAUGUGAAACCCCCGGGCUUAACCUGGGAACUGCAUUCUGAACUACAUGACUAGAGUAUUGCAGGGGGAGACGGAAUUCCAGGUGUAGCGGUGGAAUGCGUAGAUAUCUGGAAGGACACCAAAGGCGAAGGCAGUCUCCUGGGCAAAUACUGACGCUCAUAUGCGAAAGCGUGGGUAGCAAACA